GAUGAAGAACGUAGUGAAAUGCGAUAAGUAAUGUGAAUUGCAGAAUUCAGUGAAUCAUCGAAUCUUUGAACGCACAUUGCGCCCGCUAGUAUUCUGGCGGGCAUGCCUGUCCGAGCGUCAUUUCAACCCUCAAGCCCCCGGGCUUGGUGUUGGGGAUCGGCGAGCCUCCGCGCCCGCCGUCCCCUAAAUCUAGUGGCGGUCUCGCUGUAGCUUCCUCUGCGUAGUAGCACACCUCGCACUGGGAAACAGCGCGGCCACGCCGUUAAACCCCCAACUUCUGAACGUUUGACCUCGGAUCAGGUAGGAAUACCCGCUGAACUUAAGCAUAUCAAUAAGCGGAGGA
rnacentral:misc_RNA from 1 species